GCCGCUAGAGUGCGUGGGUCGCAGCGCGCCAGUCAGUGUCAGUUCAGUCAGUGAUCGGUCGGUUCUGUGUGGUGUCGGUCUUACUGCUUCACCCGCUUUUCACACACUUCGCGACCGCUCGCUAGCUACUAUCCAGCAGGAAUACACUCUACAGACCUCUAACCCCCGCCACCGGUCGAGUGCUCCACGCCACGCCACCGCUGACCUCCACCUCCUCGCUCCCCCGUCCCGACACUGCCAUGUGCUGACCUCCCACCCGCUCCGGUCCCGCUUGCUCUCGUCUGUCGCUGUCACCUCGCUUCUGCAGCUCGCUUGCGCCGCGCGCGCCGGUUCUACACCUCCGGCGACAUUUCCUGCUGCACCAUUUACUUUGAAUACGAGCCUGGGUGUGUGGCCGUGGCGACUAGCAGUGCUAGUGAUGACCUAACAGGUCAUCCCGUAGUGAGUGUGUGCCCCGGUCCCCCGUGCGCUCUUCCCUCUUCCCCUCCCCACCACCCCCUGACCACCACCGCUACCGCCACCUCCACCGCCACCAUGGCCAUGGUCAACAUGAACAACCUGCUCAACGGCAAGGACUCCAGGUGGCUCCAGCUGGAGGUCUGCCGCGAGUUCCAGCGCAACAAGUGCUCCAGGCCGGACACGGAGUGCAAGUUCGCGCACCCUCCCGCCAACGUGGAGGUGCAGAACGGCCGCGUCACGGCCUGCUACGACAGUAUCAAGGGUCGGUGUAACCGAGACAAGCCGCCAUGCAAGUACUUCCAUCCCCCGCAGCACCUCAAGGAUCAGCUGCUCAUCAACGGGCGCAACCACUUGGCCUUGAAGAACGCGCUGAUGCAGCAGAUGGGUCUGACUCCAGGCCAGCCUCUAGUUCCUGGCCAGGUGCCCACCGUGGUUGGCGGAAAGUUCCAGAUUCCCACCCCAGCACUGACUUUUGGGCAGCCUCAUAUAGGCCUGAUGGCCACGAACCCCUACCUCGCUGGGAUGCCUCAGGUUGGAAGUACGUUCUCGCCCUACUUCUCGCCAGGACCUAUCAUCCCUGCCAUGAUGGGCCCAGAUCCUGCCACUCAGCUGGGAAUGGUCCAGCAGACAGUCGUCACACAACAGAAAAUGCCUCGGUCCGAUAGGCUAGAGCCGAGUGUGCUGGGUCUGCCCACUGCGCAAGAACUCCCCAGGAAGCGCCCCAGGGACCCUAGUGAUGACCUUCUACUGGCCUUCCCCGGAAUGGUGCCGUAUAAGCGAGCAGCCGGGGACAAGUCCGGAGUUCCUGUGUACCAGCCAAGUGCGACGGCGUACCAGCAACUGCUGCAACCCUUCGUGCCCGUCUCAUUUACAGGCCACCCGCCAGGUGUGCCAAGGUUUUAAUCGUCACGAAUGGAAUUGUCCGACCUGCAAGUUCGUGUAAGCAGAAUCAGGGGAGGAGCGGCAGAGGGAGGGACCGUCCCAUUGCCAACUCUAACUACAUUGCUGCUAUGGCUGUGAUCAGGAAACACUACACACCCACGAGUAUUUAUUUUAGUAUUACAUCCACAGUCAAGAGUGACAUGGAGAACGUCGACUGCCCGCCAUCGCAGAAACUCUCUGUCUCUCUUAUUACACUCUCUACUAUACUUUCUCUAUCUCUCUCUAUCUCUCAUUAAGUGCCACAUUUUUUAAAGUAACGAAAUGAAAGAUUUUUAAAUAUUAAAAUAAACUCACGAAGAAAUAAAUGUUCCUGUACAGCAUAAAAAAAUCAAAGUUUACUCGGAGGAGAGUGACACGAAAGUGUGAGUGUACGAACUGCGACUCUACGGAUUUGUUGUACACAAGAAAAUGAAUGUGAUACAAUUAACGACUCGUUUAUUUUUAGAUUAAAAGUACGAUUUUUUAUUCGUUUUUGAGUGAUUUUUUUAAUAUUUCUCACACUCGGCAGAAUUUUUUUAACCUAUCUAAUGGUAAAUAUAAAAACUGAAAAACACAAAUGAUAUUUUAGUUGUUAAUCGAUUUGUUAGUCGUGUCCGGAAGUGUUUGUUAUCGUUAUAAAUGACUAUCUGAUCCAGGACAAAGCCAGCAUCAAGAGUGUGUCCCACGCUUUUGCUAGCUCUCGCUUCGUGACAUUACGUUAAGGCCUAAUCAGAUAUUCUACUUCUACCCAGUGAUGUAAAAAUCGGUCUCGUAUUAGUAUCAAUGUUGUCCUCUAUUUAUUUUGGCACAGUCAAAUCUUAGAUUAGUGGAUUUGUUGAUGUCUCGAUAGCCCUGCAGUUUCGUUUGCUAGCACUGUAGGCCCUCUAGACCUAGACCUAGGCACCACUCUUGUAGGCCUGGCAACGAGUAUUAAACACGACACAGUGGCUCACUUUCAAACAUUUACGUUUUACUUUAUUUAUCGUUCGUUUUGUGAUAUUUUAGUGAACAAAGUAUGAAUUAUUGUUAUUUAAGUCUCACCUAUUAAUACUUAUAUUAUAACCGUAUUGUACAUGUACCUUGUUAUAUUGUUAGGGUUGAGAUUAGUGUAAGUCGUAAUUUGUUCAUAUACAAGGAGAAUACUCUUGUAAUAAAUAAAUAUUACUACGAAUUACUAUGAGCAAUUUAUUAUUGACUUUUAAUUAUAGUUACUUUUAUUUUUGUAUUAUAUAGUUUUGUGCAGUGGACGUAUUUCUCCUUGUUGAUGAAUGAAGCCAUGUUGGCUUGUCUCCAGUCUGAGAGGCAACAGUGAUCUGAUAAGCAAGUAGUUAAUAAACAAAUUAUGUGAAUUAUUAUUUA
rnacentral:misc_RNA from 1 species